rnacentral:rRNA from 1 species
GAUGAACGCUGGCGGCGUGCCUAAUACAUGCAAGUCGAGCGAACAGACGAGGAGCUUGCUCCUCUGACGUUAGCGGCGGACGGGUGAGUAACACGUGGAUAACCUACCUAUAAGACUGGGAUAACUUCGGGAAACCGGAGCUAAUACCGGAUAAUAUAUUGAACCGCAUGGUUCAAUAGUGAAAGACGGUUUUGCUGUCACUUAUAGAUGGAUCCGCGCCGCAUUAGCUAGUUGGUAAGGUAACGGCUUACCAAGGCAACGAUGCGUAGCCGACCUGAGAGGGUGAUCGGCCACACUGGAACUGAGACACGGUCCAGACUCCUAAGGGAGGCAGCAGUAGGGAAUCUUCCGCAAUGGGCGAAAGCCUGACGGAGCAACGCCGCGUGAGUGAUGAAGGUCUGCGGAUCGUAAAACUCUGUUAUUAGGGAAGAACAAAUGUGUAAGUAACUAUGCACGUCUGGACGGUACCUAAUCAGAAAGCCACGGCUAACUACGU